UCCAACAAGCCUUUUUUUCAACCUUUGACCUCGGAUCAGGUAGGGAUACCCGCUGAACUUAAGCAUAUCAAUAA
rnacentral:rRNA from 1 species